CGGCAAAGGUCGUCAGGACCGGGAGUCGAACCCACGACCUCCGCGGGUCUAAGGCCUCCAAAUGUGGGGCGUGCUAACCCCCUGCACCACCACAGCACGCCCCUACUCAUGACCUACUUUAGGGGGCGUAGCUGAGCUCCUCACACAUGGUCCAAACCAGCAGGAGGCGAACAGGAACCAGUCAGUCCCAGUUCAGUCAGGUCCAAUCUGUCACACACUGAGUAUUCUGGUUUUUCUGGUUAGCUGAAGCUAACCUUAUUCUGUCUGCUGUUUCUAAGCUAACUCUGGGAUCAUUUAAGCCUGUCUGUGAACAAAGACCGGUAACCUCAAGGCUGCUCACUUCCCAACCUGUCCUCCCUCCAAAUCUCCACCAUGCAACCCCACCGGACCAACACCUAGACUCAGAGGAGAAGGCUGCUCACCAAAUGACAGGAAGGAUAAAUACAAAGAUGAGCAGGAGAAGGCGGUGGAGGGAAGCGGCGCUGGUGAUGUAGGACAGAACUGUAGCCAGGUGUUUGUCUGCUGGGUCGGUAGAACCGGACCUGCAGCGGAUCCCCACUGUGCGCGGCGAGGGUACAUCCAGCUCUGCUCAUUACCCUCUUAAUGGAGCAGAGACAUCUGCUACGUCUCUGCUCCCCUUUUCCAUCAAUAUCUCUCUCAUCCAGCCAACCAGCACCAACCCAGGAGCAAAGACACGAGCCAGGAAGAGGCUGAAUGUUGUGAGGGAGCAGAAGGACGGCCUGCCGAGCGUCCAGAGAGACGAUGGCAGGAAGAAGGAUGGAGGAAAACAAAGGUGGAGGAGAUACGAGGAGCCGCUGCAGGCUGGCUAAUAAUGAUGCUAAUGAGUUAGAUCAACAUAUCAUCAGGAUUCAUCUCUGGCCUCGGGUUCUGCAGAAUAAAUCAGUAGAAGAACUAAAAUGUUCUUUAGUAUUUGCUUUUUCACUAAAUGGACCCAAACAGAAGCAGCAGAACCGACUUAAAGAGUUAAGGCCUCGACCCAUCGACUGUCUGCAGACCUAAAGCAGCUUCUCAUUCAUCAUGAUCCUCACAAAUCACCAGAAUUUACUUUAUAGAAAACAAGCACAAGCAAAAACACCUUUAAUCACAGUCUGAAUGCUCGAUAUCUACACUAGAGUUUAACUAGUCAACAUGAGGAUGUCCGAGUGCAAGUGAACGCGGCACAGACCCCCCCAUUGGGUUUGGCAGGUGAUGAGAGCGAACAGCAGCAACUGAAGGUGGGGGGAUUAUAGGGCUGCUUAAAGGUCGGGCUUUAACAGGGCCGUAGUGAGUUAAACACAGAUUAAACGAUGGAAGCCAAAACAUUUCUAUGUGAACGUGUUGAGCAGCAGACUGCAGGAACCUGCAAAGCAUUCCUGAGGACAAGACAGAGAACGACUGAGGGAAGAUGGAGAAAAAAGAUUCAGGUGUAAACAACUGCCUGAGAACAGAGAUGGCAAAAAAAUACAUCUUGUCCCCGAAGGACGGAGUGGAAAACAGGCUGAGCGAACAGGUGCUGGAUGGACAGAGAGGAGGGAGAGAAGGAGGAAAACAUGAAGACAGGAGGAAAAUGAGGAGAGGGAGAAUGUGAGCGAGGGAAGCAGCUGAGAAUGAGAAUGAGGCAGAUCAGCACCAUCAUCCAUGUUCACAUUACGACCCAGAACCAGAACCAGAACCACAGUCAGGACUGAUUCAUCGUGUUUUAGACUGGUUCAAAAACCAAACUAAACUCCUGCAUAAAUCAUCCUCACAUUAACCUUCAGCUUAACUCUUCUGUCGCCUCCAGUUUGUCUUUGGAUCCAAAUGAUCCGUGAAUCAUUUAUAAAACUUCAGUUUGAAAAAAUCUCAUUACUCUGAUGCAUCUGGAAGUCGUGUCCUCAAAGUGGGAAGCUCUUAAAAAUUAAUUAGAUUUCUUGUAGGUCGUGGCAUCUGGUUUGAUCUUUCUAUUGUUUUAUGUUCAGGUUUUAUAAAUGGGCAACAAACGGAGACAUUAACGUGUCCUCAUAAAGAGUCCGACCGUUCUGACAGCGUCAGUGAAUGUUUGGCUGAAACAGAAAAAGUUUUAAUCAUUUGAAAUGGCAACCAGCAGCUCUGGGUCUCAGGCUCAGGUGAUUGUUGUUUUGUAGAGGUUGAAGAAUUUUUAUGAAAAUAUGACAAAAACUACAAAAUGAACCCCAAGAAAAUGAGGAAGGGAUGAGAGCAGACGAAAGAAUCCAGCAAGAAGUGACUGAAAAUGAGAGGCUUAGACAUUUGGGGAGGAUUAACAGGAGAUCUGGCUGAUCAGAAAACGGGCUGCAGGUGUGAGAGGAGGAGAGAGAGAAGGUGGCACAGGGGGCGAGAGAGAGAACACAGGGGAACCGGAAAUAAAUGAACACUGAAGAAUAACUGGACUGAAGAAACUUAUUGAAACUAAAGUAACAAAGAAUAACUAAGAAAUAAACAUAAUAGAAUCACUAAGGAAGAACUGAAGUGGAAACAAUGCAGAACAAAUAGAACAAACUAAGGAACACCAAAAAUGACAAAACCCUAAACUAAACAAACACAGCGACCAGCCCAAAAUCUGAGAGUAGUGAGGAUGACCUCUGACCUCUGCCCUGAGCCUCCAGAGCCACAUAAAGCCGGUUCCACAGUGGGCCUUCUAGCAGCUGCAGAACAUUUCCAGAACCAGAGACUAAAGUCUCAGAUCAGAGAAACUCAUCCAGGCUUUAGUUUCUCUUUAGUGGCUUUGAUUCCUGCAGCAGCGUCUUCACAGGUCUGAUUGACAACCCAGCGGUCCAGAACGCUGCUGCUGGAGUUCUGACUAGAACCAGGAGGAUAGAGACACCACCUGGUUCUACAUCAUCUAGUUCUACAUUCCUUCACUGAGACUUUAAUCUGCUGCUAGUUUAUAAAUCACUGAAAGAUUAAAGAUCUGCUGCUGGAUCAACCUGCUGGUUCUGGUUCUGGUUCUGGUUCUGUUCUGCAUCAGAACCAGAACCAAACAUGGAGAAGCAGCAUUCAGCUUCUAUGCACCACAGAUCUGGAACAAACUUCCAGAAAACUGAAAACCAGCUAAAACCCUGAGUUCCUAUAAUCCAGACUAAAAGCAGUUGCUAUGGAAACAUAAUCAAUGAAACAUUGAUCAAUAAUCUGAUCGAUGCCGCUGGUUCCAACAGUUCACUUUGUGUUUCUUUGAGCCUCGUUGCUGAAAUGUUUUUUACAAAUAAAGUUGCUUCCUUUAAAUCCAGACUGAAAGCAGCUGGUUGGAGCUGAUUUGAUUAUUAAUAACUGGAAAAUGGAUCAAUAUAUUUGAUGAAUAUUGAUGAUUCUAACUGGUUCUUGACUAAAUGUAAUUUCUAUGACGUCUUUAUGAUGUUUUUGUAAAGUAAAGCACUUUGAACUAC